rnacentral:rRNA from 1 species
CCCUUAGAUGUCCUGGGCCGCACGCGCGUUACACUGAUGCAUUCAACGAGCUUAUAACCUUGGCCGAGAGGCCUGGGCAAUCUUGUUAACGUGCAUCGUGAUAGGGAUAGAUUAUUGAAAUUAUUAAUCUUGAACGAGGAAUUCCUAGUAAACGCAAGUCAUCAACUUGCAUUGAUUACGUCCCUGCCCUUUGUACACACCGCCCGUCGCACCUACCGAUUGAAUGGUCCGGUGAAGCCUCCGGAUUGGCGCGCACCUCGGUGCCGCCGAGAAGUUGGCUAAACCUUACCAUUUAGAGGAAGGUGAAGUCGUAACA